UACGGGGGGUGCGAGCGUUGUCCGGAAUCACUGGGCUUAAAGCGCGUGUAGGUGGACGGGUAAGUAUCUUGUGAAAUCCCACGGCUCAACCGUGGAACUGCUGGAUAUACUGCUUGUCUUGAGGCACUUAGGGGCAGCUGGAACAAAUGGUGGAGCGGUGAAAUGCGUAGAUAUCAUUUGGAACGCCAAAGGCGAAAGCAGGCUGCUGGGAGUGAUCUGACACUGAGACGCGAAAGCCAGGGGAGCAAACGGG
rnacentral:rRNA from 1 species